AGACCCAACACGGCCAGCACCACGUGGCUCCAUGAGGACUAAACUGGAGCUACGAAUAAGGUCACUGCGAGUUACCCUAGAAUCCUCCCUUCACUGACUUCCAUUCCUCAGCAAGUCUUGUCCACUCUCCCUUUGAAGGUACCUGGUGCCAAGUAACUUGUCAGAGUUUGCAAAUCUCCAUUUACAAAGUGAAUAACUUACCAUCAACUUGUUUAGAAAGGAACCCCAUCUGCCUUCAAAUAAAUAUAUGUGGGGAGUCAGUGAAAACAUUCAUGUAUUUUUGGCUGAGCGAGAAGAAAUG